UGGGGAUUAUUGCACAAUGGAGGGAACUCUGAUGCAGCGACGCCGCGUGAACGAAGAAGGCUUUCGAGUCGUAAAGUUCUUUUAUAUGGGAAGAUAAUGACGGUACCAUAAGAAAAAGCCCCGGCUAACUACGUGCCAGCAGCCGCGGUAAUACGUAGGGGGCUAGCGUUGUCCGGAAUCACUGGGCGUAAAGGGUUCGCAGGCGGAAAUGCAAGUCAGGUGUAAAAGGCAGUAGCUUAACUACUGUAAGCAUUUGAAACUGCAUAUCUUGAGAAGAGUAGAGGUAAGUGGAAUUUUUAGUGUAGCGGUGAAAUGCGUAGAUAUUAAAAAGAAUACCGGUGGCGAAGGCGGCUUACUGGGCUCAUUCUGACGCUGAGGAACGAAAGCGUGGGUAGCAAACAGG
rnacentral:rRNA from 1 species